GAUGAACGCUGGCGGCGUGCCUAAUACAUGCAAGUCGAGCGAACAGACGAGGAGCUUGCUCCUCUGACGUUAGCGGCGGACGGGUGAGUAACACGUGGAUAACCUACCUAUAAGACUGGGAUAACUUCGGGAAACCGGAGCUAAUACCGGAUAAUAUAUUGAACCGCAUGGUUCAAUAGUGAAAGACGGUUUUGCUGUCACUUAUAGAUGGAUCCGCGCCGCAUUAGCUAGUUGGUAAGGUAACGGCUUACCAAGGCAACGAUGCGUAGCCGACCUGAGAGGGUGAUCGGCCACACUGGAACUGAGACACGGUCCAGACUCCUACGGGAGGCAGCAGUAGGGAAUCUUCCGCAAUGGGCGAAAGCCUGACGGAGCAACGCCGCGUGAGUGAUGAAGGUCUACGGAUCGUAAAACUCUGUUAUUAGGGAAGAACAAAUGUGUAAGUAACCAUGCACGUCUUGACGGUACCUAAUCAGAAAGCCACGGCUAACUACGUG
rnacentral:rRNA from 1 species